AAUUAAACAACCGCUAUUCUUUGUUUACAACGCGUACGUGGUUUGUUUUAAAAUUAUGAAAUUCGUUGUUCUCCAAAUAAUAUUUUGCACAAAGGGUUAAAUGAUUACGUAGGAUUCUCUGGAAACGAAUAAGAAUUCGCGGUGCAAAAGGAAUGUUUCCAGAGAACGAUGGUACUGCAAGAAAGACGAUUUAUUAUAAUCCAGAGCGACAAGUUGCUCGCAUGCUUCAGCGAAUUUAGAAGAAACGUGACAAACGGGUUUCGUGGUUGACUGAGAAAAGCAAGAGUGACGCUUUCAGACGUGUCAUCCCGGCUACGAUUUACCAAGAAUCUUCCAACAGCCCUCCAUAAGUUCCACGGUAACCAUGGUACGAAGGAACGAGGAAGGGACUGGAAUAAUCGAUAUUUAUUAAAUUAACUCGCGUUAUUAACUUGACAGGUGUUCCUCAAUUACGUACCACUUUGCUCGGGGAUACGUGACGGCGUAUACCUUCAACGAAGACAAUGGCCAUGACAUUCUGACCCGGGGGAUUAUUCAACAAGAAACGAUUACCAUGGAACGAGCAAAAACCGAAAUCUCAAUCGACGGCAGGUAAGGUCGGUCAUUAAAUCAGUUGCUGUUUUUUUCUUGCCAAAUAAUGGACUUUAAUUCGUUGAAAUUAUAGGCAUGAACGAUCUACAUAUUAUCAUCCGGAGGAUCUGGCAAGGUUUUAAUGACUUCGAUGGCCAUAUAUUUUAUAAAUUCUAUGGGCCCUCGGGUGUUUGACUUAUUUUGAUAAUUUCCUGUGAAACGAGGAUGUGGUGGUCAGCUCAGAUUCCGAAAGACAUUGGUUGAAAAAUUAAAGUAUUCACAGGGGGUUGAUUUCUCCAUGGCGGAUGUGCACGGGCAGAAAAGUUCCUCGUAGCGAAAGCAACGAGGAGGGAAACGUGGUACGAACGUAACGAUACGAAAGCGAUUCCCGGAGACAAAGGAAAACGUGUAGCUACACGCCUGGUUAAAAGGAGCGACCUCCUUGAGAACGGUCCUUGACUCGUAGAGACGGACAAGAUAAGCAGAAGAAGGAGAAACGAGUAGUCGUAGAAGUAGAAGAAGAACAGAAGGAGAUGGUACAAGGGGCACAACAGGAUGAGCUGAAGAAGAAGAAGAAGAAGAAGAAGAAGAAAGAAGGGAGUAGGGAGACCCGGAGGCAAGUAAUGGCGCCUACACUUGGUGGCCGCGAAAGGUCGAAGAAUAUUCUGCUUCCGAGGAGCCAACGGAAUAACGUUGCUCGCAUUCAGGCCAAGAGAAAGAGAAAAAUGUAUACAUGAAAGAAGAGGAACUCGAUAUUCAAACAGGAACUAUCCGGUCCCCAGGUAUAUACGCGAAGCCAUGAGCAGAAUGAGAAAUGAGCAAACAAGAAGAGACGAAUUCCACUGUAUAGAAUCCUAAUAUUUCCUCCCUUCGAGUUACAACUGCGCUCGAGCGACCAUUUAUAAAAUUCUCGCUAGAAUAUCCGCGUGAGGCCGGACAGGAAGGUGCUAUAAAUUAUAAGGUGAAUCCUUUGAAAAUUAACGAUUCGAUCCGGAGGAUACGGUUUAAUGUACACCAAAGUUCCUCCAUCCUUCUCUUGAAUGAUACCAGGGAUCAUGCAGAAGGUCGUGGGGUGUACUCAUUCGUGGCGAGAAAAAUUCACCAAGGGAAAAGAAACGAAGAAGACCGGAGAAAGAUACAUCCUCGCACGUAUGCUGUCCCGUCUACCUUUCUCUCUCGUAGACAACUUGGAAGAGAAAAAAGAGAAAAGAGAAGAGACGAGUGGCGUUUCGAGAAACGAAGGAUGCCUAUAAUCGGCAAUGGACGACCGCACCUCGCCACUUUCGCGUUGCUUGACGUGGAUACCGGUCUCCACCGAUCGAUCGACCGAUUUAAUCAUCCUCGUCUUCAAUCACCUAAAUGCAAAAUGUUCAACUAACGAUCGUCCUUGAACGUUGGAAGCAACUUUCCAAUGGGGUUAUCUGAAGAAAAGCGCGAGCAUACGUUCCUUUGUCUUUUUUUGUUAAUUUAUUCGAGAAACGUUGAUGCAAAUCCUUGAGAAACACGCGAACCACUUACUGUUUUUCUUUUCUAGUUAAACGUUCAUCGUACACCUCAUCUCAUCAGGCGUGCCCUCGCAUUCGUAAUAGAGAAGCACGGCUAAGAUUGCAAUUGGGCCGAGGAAACCGCCCGGAGGAUGCAUAAUUGAAUGAAGUCCAAGUUGAAUAUUACUUGCGAAACUCAUAAAUAUGCACUGAUUACACGGCAGCUUGUUGUGCAGCUCGUAUUCAGACCAUCUUCUCAACACACUAGCAAAAAGACACUUCUAUACCUGCUCAACUAUGCGCUGUUAAGUUCUAUUACACGAAGCAGAAAUUUCAUUCUUUCUUUUCUAAACCGCGAAUACCUGCGAAACCUUACGAUCGAAUUAAAUUUCUUCUAUUCGAAGAAGAAAAUUACCUCAGAGUUAUCGCGAAUAACGAUUUCCUGGUCAUCUUGAUUGAGUUCUCAGUUAUGCGAACGUAGAAUACAACACUGUAUUCGAAUGGAAAGAAGAGACAUCGGUUUCGAAUGAUUGCAGGUUGCAACGACGCGGAGUCAUGCGACAGAACAUCGCUAGUUGAAGCAAUUUAAUUACACUUUCUUAAUUGUCGAGGAAUUUUCACAUGCGUUGUAUCAACGCAUCAGAAUCUAGAUUUCCCUCUGAUAAACUCGCUUCCUAUGUAUCCUCCACCGUGAGAAGUAAUAUUUCUGCCCUCGUUAGGGACAAAAGUAAACCAAAUUGAAUUAUUACCAUUUUUCUAAGCGAACAGCGAUGCCAAUGUUCUCGGACAAAUAUUCCAGACGAUUGAUCAAACGCUGUCAAGGAUGAUUCUGUAUUAUGCUCAUUAAUUAGUUCCAGUAGAAACGACGACCAGAACGUACCUGAAUAACAUGCCUCGCGUGCGAUACACAUUUUCAUUGCAUAAUCUGUCAACGUAAAGUUCGAACGGGGUCAUAAACAGUGAAUGAAAAAAUUGCGGACGAUUGAAAUUUAAUAAUUUGUCAAAUUAAGCGCGCCUCUCUUUCGGAAGGGAUCGGAUAAAUAUGACAAACGAUUAUUAUUUUCAUCUGAGUCUAUACGAAAGGUGGCAAUCUUCUGCUGCUAAUUAAUGACGACAAGUAAUUUAUUCAAACGAGAGAAAAUCCUCAAGUUCCUCGA